CCGGGUUGAUAAGGACACCCCUACCCUCAAGUCUUUGACGGGCUACAAAUACAUGUUCGACUCUUUCACAUAGACAAAAUAAGUAAGAUGAUCUCUUCAAAAUCAGUUUAUCUUGUUGGCAUUCUUUUAGCCUUCACUCUUCUCUUCCCCUCUGCGGUUUCAACUCGACUCCUGGUUGAGUCUAACCGUUACAACCUACAUGCUGAGUCCAAGGAGGGGUGCCAAUCUACAACAAGUCGCCAUUUACUUGACGCUCCAAGUCCAUCAACUGUUGGUCCUAAUGAUUACGGUGACGAACCCGACCUGCCGUGACCCCUGGGGUUGCUCCUGGAGAAAUGGUCCCUAAUCUGCAUGAGUUGAUUGGCAAUGAUAGAUUUGAUUAUGAAUGUGAAUUUUUCAAGGUUGAUACAUAAUUAAAUCGAUUGCUUCACAAGUUUAAUUUGCCAUAGAAUGAAUUUUUCAUUUCAAGGUGGUUUUUUUUUUUUUUUUUUUUUUUUUUUUUUUUUUUUUUUUCAUUUCAAGUUUUGUAAGUAAAUAAUGAUGCAUGUUCCAUAAAUUAUAUAUACUAGCUUGUACCCUUACUAUGCAAGGGAUAUAUAUUAUGGAAUAAUAUUGUUUUUCUUGUUUAUUUUUGUUUAAA